rnacentral:rRNA from 1 species
CACGUAGGGCGCAAGCGUUGUCCGGAAUUAUUGGGCGUAAAGAGCUCGUAGGCGGUUUGUCGCGUCUGCUGUGAAAACUCGGGGCUUAACUCCGGGCCUGCAGUGGGUACGGGCAGACUAGAGUGCGGUAGGGGAGACUGGAAUUCCUGGUGUAGCGGUGAAAUGCGCAGAUAUCAGGAGGAACACCGAUGGCGAAGGCAGGUCUCUGGGCAUUAACUGACGCUGAGGAGCGAAAGCAUGGGGAGCGAACAGG